rnacentral:lncRNA from 13 species
AUUUUCUAGCAAUGAUUUUUUUUAAAUUAAGGGAUCUCCAACUUCCAGGCCGUAGACUGAAAGCAGUUCACAGCCAGUUAGGAACCAGUCUGCACAGCAGGAGGUGAAUGACUACUAUACAAUUGAAAGACUUUCCUAGACAACAUAUGAAACUUUCUUCCCAUCCUGUGAAAUUUAAGGCAAGUAUAAUAUUGUAUAUAAUAUAACCAGGAAUUUUAAUUACCUUGAGGAAGCAAUGCGACAGUGAAAAGUAAUUUAAAAUUGAUUCUCAGUUAUAACUUGGUUGAUUCAAGGAGCAAAAGAGAUCCUGUUUUUCUAAAGAUAUCUCCAUAUAAAAUAUGGCUAUUUGCAUACUUCAUUCUUACCUCUUUUUCUUAA